UACGUAGGGGGCAAGCGUUGUCCGGAUUCAUUGGGCGUAAAGAGCGUGUAGGCGGCCAGGUAGGUCGGUUGUGAAAACUGGAGGCUCAACCUUCAGAGGUCGACCGAAACCAUCUGGCUAGAGUCCGGGAGAGGAGAGUGGAAUUCCUGGUGUAGCGGUGAAAUGCGUAGAUAUCGGAAGGAACGCCGGUGGCGAAAGCGACGCGCUGGACCUCUUCUGACGCUGAGGCGCGAAAGCCAGGGGAGCAAACGGG
rnacentral:rRNA from 1 species